rnacentral:rRNA from 1 species
CACGUAGGCACCAAGCGUUGUCCGGAUUUAUUGGGCGUAAAGAGCUCGUAGGCGGUUCGGUAAGUCGGGUGUGAAAACUUUGGGCUCAACCCAAAGCCUGCACUCGAUACUGCUGUGACUUGAGUCCGGUAGGGGAGUGGGGAAUUCCUGGUGUAGCGGUGGAAUGCGCAGAUAUCAGGAGGAACACCUGAGGCGAAGGCGGGUUGCUGGGCUGAUACUGACGCUGAGGCGCGAAGGUCAGGGGAGCAAACGGG